AACGAACGCUGGCGGCAUGCCUAACACAUGCAAGUCGAACGAGACCUUCGGGUCUAGUGGCGCACGGGUGCGUAACGCGUGGGAACCUGCCCUUAGGUUCGGAAUAACUCCCCGAAAGGGGUGCUAAUACCGGAUAAUGUCUUCGGACCAAAGAUUUAUCGCCUUUGGAUGGGCCCGCGUUGGAUUAGCUAGUUGGUAGGGUAAAAGCCUACCAAGGCGACGAUCCAUAGCUGGUCUGAGAGGAUGAUCAGCCACACUGGGACUGAGACACGGCCCAGACUCCUACGGGAGGCAGCAGAGGGGAAUAUAGGACAAGGGGCGAAAGCCUGAUCCAGCAAUGCCGCGUGAGUGAUGAAGGCCUUAGGGUUGUAAAGCUCUUUUACCCGGGAUGAUAAUGACAGUACCGGGAGAAUAAGCUCCGGCUAACUCCGUG
rnacentral:rRNA from 1 species